UACAGAGGGUGCGAGCGUUGUCCGGAAUCACUGGGCGUAAAGGGCGCGUAGGCGGCGCGGAAAGUCAACGGUGAAAGCUUGGGGCUCAACCCCGAGUCGGCCGUCGAUACUUCCGUGCUCGAGCACUGUAGAGGCAGGUGGAAUUCCGGGUGUAGCGGUGGAAUGCGUAGAGAUCCGGAAGAACACCGGUGGCGAAGGCGGCCUGCUGGGCAGUAGCUGACGCUGAUGCGCGACAGCGUGGGGAGCAAACAGG
rnacentral:rRNA from 1 species